rnacentral:rRNA from 1 species
UAUCUGGUUGAUCCUGCCAGUAUUAUAUGCUGAUGUUAAAGAUUAAGCCAUGCAUGUGUAAGUAUAAAGACCAAGUAGGAUGAAACUGCGGACGGCUCAUUAUAUCAGUAAUAGUUUCUUUGGUUAGUAAAGUACAAGGAUAGCUUUGUGAAUGAUAAAGAUAAUACUUGAGACGAUCCGGUUUGUAUUAGUACAAGUCGGCCACUCUCUUCACGGGGAGUGCGAAUGCCAUUCUGAAUUGAAUAAGGAUGGUAUGACAAUUGUAGAGCACACAGUGUUUAACAAGUAACCAAUGAGAAUUUCUGAUCUAUCAAUUUGUUGGUAGUAUCGAGGACUACCAAGAUUAUAACGGAUAUCGAGGAAUUGGGGUUCGACAUCGGAGAGGGAGCUUUACAGAUGGCUACCACUUCUACGGAAGGCAGCAGGCGCGUAAAUUACCCACUUUCGACGUGAAGAGGUAGUGACGACAAAUAACUCUCGAGGUGGUUAACUCCACUUCUUGAAGGAAUGAGUAAGAAGUAAAUACUCUUACGAAA